rnacentral:rRNA from 1 species
UACGGAGGGUGCGAGCGUUGUCCGGAAUCAUUGGGCGUAAAGGGCGCGUAGGUGGCCCGGUCAGUUCGUGGUGAAAGCGCGGGGCUCAACCCUGCGUCGGCCAUGAAUACUGCCGCGGCUGGAGCACUGUAGAGGCAGGCGGAAUUCCGGGUGUAGCGGUGGAAUGCGUAGAGAUCCGGAAGAACACCGGUGGCGAAGGCGGCCUGCUGGGCCGUCCCUGACGCUGAGGCGCGAAGGCGUGGGGAGCGAACGGG